UUCUCAAGUACUUUGGAUUCCAGAUGACUAUUACAAAUCUCAGAUGCUGGACACGGAGCAGCAAAAUGUACUGUUUUCUCUGCUGGGUUUCAGCCCUGAUUUUUCUUUUCAUGAAUGGGAAUGUUUACUCUAUGCUAUUAUGUAUUGGAACCAUGUAACUUGCUUUUCGGUAUUAAGGGACCUCACAAUUAAAAGAUUGUUUCAGAUGAAACUUGGACUUUGGAUAUUAAAACAGUGUUUGAACUGUUGAAGACUAGGGAUAUUUGGUGUUGUACCUAACUUUGCAUUAUGAAGUGGUCAUCAGUUUAUGGGGACAAGAAAGGAAAAGUUAAUUGCCUAACAGUGACAACCAUGUCAGAAUUCACACAGGUGAGAAAUCAUUUUAGAGUAAAGAAUGUGGGAAUCUUUAUACCAAAAUUCGAAUUUCAAUAAGCAUCAGAGAAUUCAUGGAUGAGCAACAAGAAGCCUUACCAUAAGAACCCAACCUUUACUUGACAUCAGAGAACACAUUCAGGUAAGAAACUUGAAUGUAAGUGAGCACAGUGUGUCUUGCAGACACCAGCCCCACCCAUUUCCCUAGAAGGGCUGUAUCUCACUGCCUGGGUAAACACAGCAUGACUAAAAUGUGCCAGCUAGUUCUGUUUUCCCUACUAAAUAUAUUGUACCCGGGAAUCUCCAUACCUACCUGUCAGUUUGCUGAGCAUAUAUACAGUUGUAUCCAUUCCUUGUCACCCAGGUGAGGCUGCACAUCUCGGAGACUCAAGCUUGUUCAUUGCAUACAUGAGGGCUGUAUAUCCAGGAAGCUCCAGCCCCUGUGAGCACAUUGUACCUGGGAGACGUCAGCCCCUCUUAUCACACAGGUGAGGGCUAUGUUGUGAUAACCGGCAACUUCACAUUACCCAGGAAUCAUAGAAUAGCCAGCAGUUCCAUCCUAUCCUGUGGCCCCAUUGAGAUAUGCAUGGGAGCCUCCAGCCCAGGUAAGUGAAACAUGCUUGGUGAGCUCCAUCCUAUCAACAGCUCCAGUGUACACAACACAUCUAAGAAGCUCCAGCCUCACCUGUUGCCUUGGUGACCAAAGCAUUCCUAAGUGGCUCUUGCACCUCAAUAAGCACAAGGUGCCUGGGAGGCUCCAGUCCCAUCCAGUUUGUGUGUUAUGCCCAGAAGCCUCCAAACCCAUCCAGGUGAGGGCCGUAUGUCUAGGAGACUGUUUGAGCACGGUUCAUACCUGGGAGAUUCCGAGUCAGCCUGUGAUCCUGGUAAGCCUAGGGUGCUGGGGAGGCUCUGUCCCUUGGCUUAUUUGCAAAGCAGAAGCUUUAUGUCUGGGAAGACCUAGCCCUGCCCAUCACCUCAAUGAGCACAGCAUUCCAGGAAUACACUGGCUUUACUCAUUACCCUGACAAGCACAGCACACCUGGAAGUAUCCAGACCAAACCAUCUUGGUGAAGAUUGUGUGACCAGUCAUGGUGAUACAGCAUGACUAUGAUGCUUUAGUUCUGACGCCUGCAUGAAAACAACAGAAGACCUGAGGACUCAGAAUAAGAGGGAAUUGAAAGAAAGAAGAAAACAAUUCAACCAAAGGCCUAAGUCCACAUUGCAAGUCC
ensembl:lncRNA